rnacentral:rRNA from 1 species
AUUGAACGCUGGCGGCAUGCCUUACACAUACAAGUCGAACGGCAGCGGACCUUCGGGUGCCGGCGAGUGGCGAACGGGUGAGUAAUAUAUCGGAACGUACCUUUCAGUGGGGGAUAACGUAGCGAAAGUUACGCUAAUACCGCAUAUUCUGUGAGCAGGAAAGCAGGGGAUCGCAAGACCUUGCGCUGAUUGAGCGGCCGAUAUCAGAUUAGCUAGUUGGUGAGGUAAAGGCUCACCAAGGCGACGAUCUGUAGCGGGUCUGAGAGGAUGAUCCGCCACACUGGAACUGAGACACGGUCCAGACUCCUACGGGAGGCAGCAGUGGGGAAUUUUGGACAAUGGGCGCAAGCCUGAUCCAGCCAUGCCGCGUGAGUGAAGAAGGCCUGG